AUGGCAUGCCAGGGCCUGGAAACGGUCGGCGUAGUCUUGCACCGUGGAGGUGAAGGGAAGGCGGCCGAGCUCCGCCAGGCGGCUCCCGUGAACCGGAGGCCCAAAGCGAAGGAGGCAGAGCUCGCGGAAGCGCUCCCAAGGGGGCAUGGUGCCCUCGUCCUGCUCGAGGGCGUAAUACCAGGUCUGUGCCGCACCGCGGAGGUGGUACGAGGCGAGCCAGGUACGCUCCGAUGCGAGGGUGCGUUGCCCGCGAAAGAACUGGUCGCACUGGUUGAGCCAGUUGAGGGGGUCCUUCGUGCCGUCAUAGGUGGCGAAGUCAAUCUUGGCGAACCGCGGCGGUGUCUGGGUCGGAGCGCCGUGUCGAGCUGGCUCAGAGGUGCGGAGCAGCGAGGCGGGUGGCGCCUAGUUGGAGUACUCCGGGUAGGGACCGGCGGAACCGGAUGGCCCACCGAACUGCGGGAACGGAGUCGGCUGUUCGGGGGCCGUGGUGUAGACUGGCGAUGGCGAAGACCCAACCGCCCACGCUGGGAGUGGCGACGGGGAGGGCGGGAACCGGACCUGAUGGAUCGGGAGGCCGGUCGGCGAGGGUGCCCCCGAGCUGGGCAGGGGCACCGCCGGUGGUUGCAGCGGCAGCAGCGGGGGCUGGACGGGGGCAGCGGCUGCCGGGAACGGCAACGGCUGCAGGUGCCAGAGGGGCGCCGUCGAUGGUGGCGGCGGCAGAUGCCACAGGCCCGCGGCGGCUGGUGGUGGCCCACUGGAGUUCCCCGUCUGGGACGGCAACAGCGGGGGCCCGCCGCCUGCGGGUGCGCCCGGGAACAGCCACGGCGCAGGGUGGCCGUAGGUGGCGAUCGGCGCAGCCGGCGGAAGGCCGUACGCUCCUGCCAUGUACUGGUGGUACUGGUUCAUGUGGAGCCCUUGGAUGGCCGUCACGAGUUGCUGCAGCGUGCUGGUCAUCUGUUCCGGCGUGAAGACGGCGGUCGUCGGCAGCGCGGACGUGAUGGGCGCCGGCGGCAGUGA
rnacentral:rRNA from 1 species